GACGAACGCUGGCGGCGUGCUUAACACAUGCAAGUCGAACGGACAGGCCCUGCUCUUGUGGGGUGCUCGAGUGGCGCACGGGUGUGUAACACGCGAGUAUCCUGCCCUUGACUUUGGGAUAACUUCAGGAAACUGGGGCUAAUACCGGAUAGGAGCUCUUGCUGCAUGGUGGGGGUUGGAAAGUUCCGGCGGUUGGGGCUGGACUCGCGGCUUAUCAGCUUGUUGGUGGGGUAGUGGCUUACCAAGGCUUUGACGGGUAGCCGGCCUGAGAGGGUGACCGGCCACAUGAGGACUGAGAGACGGCGCAGACGCCUACGUGAGGCAGCAGUGGGAAAUAUGGCACAGUGGGCGGAAGCCUGAGGCAGCGACGCCGCGUGCGUGAUGACGUCCUUCGGGGUAUAAACCGCUUUGGCCUGUGACGAAGAGGGAGUGACGGUAAUGGGUAAAGAAGCACCGGCUAACUACGUG
rnacentral:rRNA from 1 species